CCAUUCCCCAAGUUCUCCAGUCAAAGUGGAAAGAAAAAUAAUCAAUCAUUAAGCACUUUUUUGUGUUGUUAAUAUUAAUGAGUCUUUUUAUCACCAUUUAUUCAUAAGCACAACCCUCUUGUUUUAUCCAAAGAACCAUUGCAAAACAAAAUCAAAGUUAAGAUCUUUAAGCAAAUAAACAAGUGGUGUCUUUGUAUCCAAAAGUGACGGUAAAACAGGAACCUCUUGAAGAGGAUACUGAUGUACGGGACCUUGGUUUGAAAUCAUUCCUCUCUCUUUCUUCUCCAGUGAUUGACAAGAAGAAUGUCAUUGUGCGAUCCACUGUCAAAGUACCAAAGUGUUAUGUGUCAUAUGUACCUACUCCGCGAGUAAAUGUAACCAAAGAUUUUGGGGACUGCAGUUUGUUAUCUGAUUCUUCAGAAACUGAGAGGGAUGGAAAUAGUGAUGAGGUUACACUACAUAUUAGAGCCGGUCCGAAUCCACGCCCUCGUGCUAUCAUUUCUAGUCCUGAUAAUGACAUUUUGAUAGGGCAUAAAAACAAGACCAGAGAUGGAAGAGUUUCUGCUACAUCGAAUGGUGCCGUGCUACAAAAUAGGCGUGUGCAGCUUAAAGUUAAGUCAUAUGCGGUUACUGAUACUCCUCCAGACACAAGAAAAUCAAAGGAGCCUGGGUGUAAUGAUAAAAUUGAUCCCAUAAGGAAGAAAAAUGUCCACAAAGUCAGCAUAAAAUCAGAAAAAGUACCUAAGAGCUGGAAGUUUUAGAAACAUUGGAAAUUUGUUGGUAGCUAAUGUUAAUCUAGGAGUAGAUUCCCUCUCAAAAAAAGAGAAUAAAAAAGUACAUGUUUUGAUGUAACAAUCCAUGUUAACAUGCUUUACUUUGACAUUGAUAUGCAAUGUUUAUUGAUGCAUGCAUAUAUGGUACUUUAAAGAAGAAAGUGGAUGAGAUGCCAUAUAUCCUUU